GAUGAACGCUCGCGAUAGGCUUAACACAUGCAAGUCGAGGGGCAGCAUGGUCUUAGCUUGCUAAGACUGAUGGCGACCGGCGCACGGGUGCGUAACGCGUAUGCAACUUGCCUCACAGAGGGGGAUAACCCGUCGAAAGACGGACUAAUACCGCGUACACUUGGGAUAGGGCAUCCUGACCCAAGGAAAUGAAAUUCGCUGUGAGAUAGGCAUGCGUCCCAUUAGCUAGUUGGUGAGGUAACGGCUCACCAAGGCGACGAUGGGUAGGGGAACUGAGAGGUUGAACCCCCACACUGGUACUGAGACACGGACCAGACUCCUACGGGAGGCAGCAGUGAGGAAUAUUGGUCAAUGGGCGAGAGCCUGAACCAGCCAAGUCGCGUGAAGGAUGACUGUCUUAUGGAUGGUAAACUUCUUUUAUACGGGAAUAACAAGAGUCACGUGUGGCUCCCUGCAUGUACCGUAUGAAUAAGCAUCGGCUAACUCCGUG
rnacentral:rRNA from 1 species